AUUCAGCUGGACAUACAUCUCACAGCAGAAAUUGUACUUUAAAAGAACAUGGAGAUGGUUUUCAUCGAAAAUGUCCUGAUUUGAAGGGCAUCAAUAACGUGGGAAAGUCUGCUUCUAAUGAAGCAGCAAGAAUGAAGAAUAUACAAAAACCACAAUCAGG